rnacentral:rRNA from 1 species
GAGUAUGAACUAAAUCAUGGAACACCGGAUCCCAUCAGAACUCCGAAGUUAAGCGUGCUUGGGCGAGAGUAGUACUAGGAUGGGUGACCCCCUGGGAAGUCCUCGUGUUGCACCCC